UUUUUUCUCUAUGCACCAUGGGGCUUCAUGGUCGGUCUUCUUUUGGUGGUCAGAGAUUUUAGUUGAAGAAAUAAUAUGGUGAUCAAGAAUGAUCCAGAGGAUGCGGUACAAGAGUGUCUGGCCCACUUUAAAGAUAAUAUGGCAAUUAGCAACCACUGAGCUUUUUGUUUUCUUGAACCUUGUCUUUCCUAUUUGGCAAAUACAGAACACUACAACUCUAUUUUUUUUUAAACAAAUAAUAUUUUAUAUUCUCACA